AGAAGCUACACAUUUGGGACCUUCUCAGGCUUCACCCUAUGCACCUCUUUUUGCUGAUCCUGAUUUGUAUUAUUUGUGCUAUAAUAACACUGUAAUUAUAUGUAUAGGACUUUCCUGAAUUCUCUGUCACUGUCAGUCUAUUAAAUGAUUGAGCAUGAAGAGAGAGUAGGAACCCCUGAGUAUUUAGCUUGUUGGUCAGAAGUGCUGGUGGCCUUGGAACUCAUAAGCUUGUGGCUAGUUUCUGAGCUAACCCAGGCACAACAGGAAUACAACCUUUUACUACAGAUGUGGGAUUGUUCAUGUCAUCUACUAAUGCAAGAUGGAUCUGAGAACGCUGUCUGGGCUUGGUACCAAGAGCUGGUAUUUCACAGCAGCGACCGCCUCACAGACGAGCUGUGGGAAGCAGGAGGGAGACUCUCUCUUAGGGUGCCACUACUAUGGAGACACAGCUGGGCUGAACAAGAUUUGCUUCAAACGACAACAAGAGAGACAGAAAGUAUCUGGUUCAACCGCUGCCCGAGCAGGCAGGCACCAGAAGAGCUAGCAGCCAAUCCGGCCAUGCUCGAAGCCAGCUCUGCAGCUCAGCCAAUCAGUGACAUCAUUGCUUUCUUUAGCUUGCCCAUGGUGAUGUGAAGAUGAGAAGAAAUAGCAAGGCCCAACCAGUUCUUCAUCUGGAGACAGUUCAACGUUCUGCAAACCAGAUCUUCAGGAAUUUUACUGGGAUAAUUAUCCAAAUAAAUUGCAAGCAUUCUAUCCAAAUGGUGAUCUUCUGAGAUAUUUUGAGGGAAAGAGGUAGUAUACCAAAAUGGAAAUACUACGCAAGGACAUCCAUAAAAAUUCAUCAGAGAGCAUUUUACUACUGAGCUGCAAAGGGAAAAACUUAAAAUGGAUAUGAAAAGUGAAGAAAGUGAUCAUAGGAGAAAACCAUUUCAGAUCAACCACCUCAGAAGAGCCAGAUUCCACUUCUGUGGCCAGGACUUUUACAUUAUGGCUGGUCCGAUUGUUUUACCCUGCGUUCUAUGCUACUAAACCUUGGAUCAUUCCUAAAGUACAAAUUCUGUUCUCGAACCACAAACAAGGCUAAAAGAUCGGAGGAAAUUCAGUGAAUAUACAGGAUUGGGGUUGUGUAUUUUUAAAAGUAUUGAGCUUUAUAAUGUAAUUAUUCAAGAAAUAGAAUCAUGGUUUUUUUAUGAUGUUGCCAGCAUUUUAAAUUACAUGUUUAUUAAGUGGCAUUGCUCAAAUAACUACAGAGUAUGCGUGGAAAUAUUUGCUGUCUGAAUAGUUUGGAGAUUCAAAGAGAAAAAUCAAGCUUCAGAGGUAUUAAAUUAUGACAUGCAGAAAAGUUUUUGUUUUGUUCUUAACUGCAACGGUAUAUAUUUAAAUCCGAUUUAAAGUAUUAUAUGUCCUGGGCCCACCUUACCAGUUGUGCUGUAUAGCAGUGUAAUGGGAAGCAAAAUUUCAAUUAGGGUCCCAUUAACUGGCAUAUAAUCCUUCUUUAAUGUAAUAGAGGCUAUGGUGUUGCUGUACAAAUCUGCUAGAAGCAGAUUUUAACCCAUGUUUAGUCUCUUUCUUUGGAUCUAAUGGAAUGACUCUUAACUGUUCAUUGUCUGCAUUGUUUCUCAUAUUCUUCAUUAUUUUAAGGUCUGGAAUUAGUCUAUAAAUGGUCGUCGUGAUUACUCAGCUCAUCCUAACUUUUAUAUAUCAUAUAUAUUUCUACUGAAGUAUUUUAAAUAGUAUUUAGAGGUAAAAGUCUAAGUGAACCCAACUGUAAUUUCUAAGCUAUCCUUAUUUCUGGAAGAAGAAUUCUACCGCAUCAAACCAGACUUUUCCU
ensembl:lncRNA MIR99AHG mir-99a-let-7c cluster host gene